UAUAGUUCUCCUUGGUGAUGCUUCCAUCAAAGACCCUCCAGCGCCACUGGUCGAUGAGGUAGCUGAAGGGGAUAAAGGCGAUCUUGUCGAGGGCCAUCUUCAUUAGAAAGUUGAUGUCAUACUCUGCCAAGAGAAAGACAGAAAGAACACAGCCUCAGGCUUGGGCACACUGUCUCUAGGACCCUGAGAGAAAGACAUACCCAUUUCUGCUUAGGGCCCUGAGGAUGAGCCCAGGGGUGGCUUGGCACUGAAGCAAAGGACACUGGGGCUCAGCUGGCAGCAAAGUGACCAGGAUGCUGAGGCUUUGACCCAGAAGCCAGAGGCCAGAGGCCAGGACUUCUCUUGGUCCCAGUCCACCCUCACUCAGAGCUUUACCAAUGCCCUCUGGAUAGUUGUCGGGUAACGGUGGACGCCACUGAUUCUCUGGCCAGCCUAGGACUUCGCCAUUCCGCUGAUUCUGCUCUUCCAGCCACUGGCUGACCGGUUGGAAGUACUCCAGCAGUGCCUUGGCAUCCAGGGCAUCUGAGCCUACCAGGUCCUUCAGUACCUCCUGCCAGGGCCUGGAGCAGCCAGCCUGCAACACCUGCCUGCCAAGCAGAGUGACCACUGUGGGCACAGGGGACACAGGGUCUGACCGGAAGUCCUUCCGGUUGUAGAAGUCCCAGGCAGAGGCGUGGCACACCACCUCCCGUCCAUCCGUUGGUUUCUCCAGCAUUGACUCCGCCCAGAACUCAGGAGGCAUGGGUGAGAGCCCCAGCGAGGUGAAGAAUUCCUCUGAUACCCGGAACAUGUGUGUGGCGUUCCAGCCCUGGCCAGCAGGCAGGGAAACAGGAUCCUUCACUAAGGGGCCACAGGCUUCCAGGCUUCCAGGCUCCCAGACUCAUGUCCUCAGGUAUGGUCCACAAUAAGGCUGCUGCUAACCCUGACCCUGAAGCCAAAGCCAUCGACUUGACCCCUAGCUCUGCUCUAUUCCAGUUUUCCAUUGGCUCUAAAUUCUUGGCUCUAAAUAAACCUCAGUCUCUAAAGCGCGCCCCUGCCUCGUCCGGGGAAAAGUUGCCCGGCUGCAAUCCAGGGUCGAGUGCCGGGGCGGGCGACGGCUGCAGCAACAGCACCAGCAGCGACAGCAUCAAGAGCGGAGGCGACAACGGCCACCGCCCCCGCUGGCCGGACGCGGCCCCCAUGGCGCGGUGCGCGCCUGGGGGAAGGAGAAUCAGGUCCUCUAAAUGCAUCAGCAGCCUGUGAAGUUAACCUCUGAGCACCAGGGCUGUGCCCCCAAAGAGGUGGGCGGACCCUUGUCCUUGCCAGAUGGGGUGAUGGAGUUCACAUGGGAGAUUGUGUGACCUGCAAGGACUCAGAGUGAGACUGUGCUGGCCUGUCAGAACUGAAAGCAAGGAGAGAGAAAGACAGGGUGGAGCUGGAGGCCCAACUGUCUCUGAAGAGCUCCUGAGUACCAGGCCAGACAGUGGAAGAGCAGGCUGUGCUUUCUGCUGGCUCAUUCUCAGGCCCAGCUGUGUGGCAGUGUGACAUCCUCUUUACUCUCCGAUUAGGGACUAAGUUCAGGAAUGAACAGCUCUGCCUUACAGACGUGAUGAAAUCAAAGGCUCACUACUGUGAUAAAAUAAUCUAACCUUGCUUACUGAUAGCCUGGGUACUUGGAGUCGUCACCCUCCUCCUCCCUCAAGGUGACAAUGUAUUGUAAGAGCUUGUUGAAGCACAGGGCUUUCCACUAUGCCAUACUUUUGGGGGAGUGGAUACAGACUCUAUCAAUCUGCUUUAUUCUCUGUGGGUUUCCCAGAGCUUAGCAUGCACCUGUCACAAAGAAGGGAGCACAAGGGUGACAUGAAUGACUGGCGUUCGAGCACAUGCCCCUGGCAGGGAGCUCCCGGUCUCUGCAAGAGCGAUCUAUGAAGAACCAAACCCCACCAAUUUGGAAUUUACAGUAAUACAUUGAAUAUCGUGAUAAAUCAAAGUUAAAAAUAACUUUCUCUAUUUUUAGGGUCUUGUACAUGAAGGAGAGGGAACAUAAGGAAAAUAUACCUUACACUUGUAUUGCACGUUGGAUGUUUCUGUACCCUUAUGUGUGAGUGGUAUAAUUUGACGUUUAGAUAUCCCCGGGAGGUAGGGAAGUGGUAAGGUUCUCUUUCCCCUGUCAGCUCCCAGGUGCCACAGACUGUGGAGGAGGCCCCCAACCCUGCAGGAAGAUCUAAUUAGGAUGAGGCCAGUGAGGAGUUGUGCAGAUCCUGCCCACCUGUGCUCAUGCCGCCAAUCUCUCACCCUUUAAAUCCUUUCCAGUUACUGGUAACUACAGAGCCGAGGGAAAAUCCUUAAAAAUAAACUCAUCACUAAG
rnacentral:lncRNA from 1 species